UACGGAGGGUGCAAGCGUUAUCCGGAUUCACUGGGCUUAAAGGGCGCGUAGGCGGGUCUGAAAGUCAGUGGUGAAAUCUCCGGGCUCAACCCGGAAACUGCCAUUGAUACUACAGGUCUUGAAUUUUCUGGAGGAUAGCGGAAUAUGUCAUGUAGCGGUGAAAUGCUUAGAUAUGACAUAGAACACCAAGUGCGAAGGCAGCUAUCUACAGGGAUAUUGACACUGAGGCACGAAAGCGUGGGGAUCAAACAGG
rnacentral:rRNA from 1 species